UUCAAUAUUUAAUAUAUUACUGCCUUACUGAGUUGCAAUAAGUGACAAAAACAUAUACAUCAUAGAAUUAACAUAAGAAUGAACUGUGAAGAACAAAUGCCUUAUAUUUCAGGUAAAAGGUAAAUAUAUUCCAUAUACUCUGGAAUAAGGACCUACUGAAAGACUGCUGAGGAUUUGAGGAAUCUAUUUUUGUGUGUGUGGACUGUUACUAUUAAUAGUUCUGUGCUGUGUAUACCACCAGCUCCCAAUAAAUGUCGCAUUCAGAGCAUUUUUGCACUAGGAAGAUUUAGGGUGCAAAUGAACUCUGACAGAAGAAUCUGUAGUAUACAAGGUUUUCAGAAGACAACCCACCUGCUCCAUACUUCGAAAUAAUGAGAUUCACAACGAUUAUGAU
rnacentral:lncRNA from 1 species